CACGUAGGGGGCUAGCGUUGUCCGGAAUCAUUGGGCGUAAAGAGCGUGUAGGCGGCCAGACAGGUCCGUUGUGAAAACUCGAGGCUCAACCUCGAGACGCCGAUGGAAACCGUUUGGCUAGAGUCCGGAAGAGGAGAGUGGAAUUCCUGGUGUAGCGGUGAAAUGCGCAGAUAUCAGGAAGAACACCCGUGGCGAAGGCGGCUCUCUGGUACGUGACUGACGCUGAGACGCGAAAGCGUGGGGAGCAAACAGG
rnacentral:rRNA from 1 species